GUAACAUAAUAAAAUGAUUUUGAAAGUCAUUAACAGGUAGUUAGCCCUACCAUGUUACU
rnacentral:tRNA from 1 species